UACAGAGGUGGCAAGCGUUGUUCGGAAUUACUGGGCGUAAAGCGCGCGUAGGUGGUUCGUUAAGUUGGAUGUGAAAGCCCCGGGCUCAACCUGGGAACUGCAUUCAAAACUGACGAGCUAGAGUAUGGUAGAGGGUGGUGGAAUUUCCUGUGUAGCGGUGAAAUGCGUAGAUAUAGGAAGGAACACCAGUGGCGAAGGCGACCACCUGGACUGAUACUGACACUGAGGUGCGAAAGCGUGGGGAGCAACAGGA
rnacentral:rRNA from 1 species